CCUACGGGAGGCAGCAGUGAGGAAUAUUGGUCAAUGGGCGAGAGCCUGAACCAGCCAAGUCGCGUGAGGGAGUACUGCCCUAUGGGUUGUAAACCUCUUUUGUCGGGGAGCAAAAGCCGGACGUGUCCGGCUGUUAGAGUACCCGAAGAAAAAGCAUCGGCUAACUCCGUGCCAGCAGCCGCGGUAAUACGGAGUAUGCGAGCGUUACCCGUAUUUAUUGGGUUUAAAGGGUGCGCAGGCGGAUUUUUAAGUCAGCGGUCAAAUCGUGGGGCUAACCCCCAUCCAGCCGUGGAAACUGGGGAUCUAGAGUGCGCGAGAGGUAUGCGGAAUGCGUGGUGGAGCGGUGAAAUGCAUAGAUAUCACGCAGAACCCCGAUUGCGAAGGCAGCAUACCGGUGCACAACUGACGCUCAGGCACGAAAGCGUGGGUAUCGAACAGGAUUAGAUACCCUGGUAGUC
rnacentral:rRNA from 1 species